rnacentral:rRNA from 1 species
GUAGGGAAUAUUGGGCAAUGGAAGGAAUUCUGACCCAGCCAUGCCGCGUGCAGGAAUACAGUCCUAUGGACUUUAAACUGCUUUUAUUAUAGAGUAACCUGGGGGACGUGUCCCCCACUGCAAGUAUAUAAUGAAUAAGCAUCGGCUAACUCCGUGCCAGCAGCCGCGGUAAUACGGGGGAUGCAAGCGUUAUCCGGAUUUAUUGGGUUUAAAGGGUGCGCAGGCUGAUCGGUAAGUCAUUGGUGAAAAGUCACUGCUUAACAGUGAUCGUGCCUAUGAUACUGCCGGACUAGAGUUUAAGAGGUGUAACUGGAAUGUGAUGUGUAGCGGUGAAAUGCUUAGAUAUGUCACAGAACGCCAAUCGUGAAGACAGGUUACAAACUUAAUACUGACGCUCAUGCACGAAAGCGUGGGGAUCAAACAGGAUUAGAUACCCGGGUAGUCC